rnacentral:rRNA from 1 species
UACGUAGGGUGCGAGCGUUGUCCGGAAUUAUUGGGCGUAAAGAGCUCGUAGGCGGUGUGUCGCGUCGGCCGUGAAAACUUGCAGCUUAACUGUGGGCGUGCGGUCGAUACGGGCAUCACUGGAGUUCGGCAGGGGAGACUGGAAUUCCCGGUGUAGUGGUGGAAUGCGUAGAUAUCGGGAGGAACACCAGUGGCGAAGGCGGUUGCCUGGGGCUUUGCUGACGCUGAGGCGCGAAAGCGUGGGGAGCGAUCCGG